CGCAUGGUGGCUUAGUGGUUAGCACUUUCACCUCACACCUUCAGGGUCCAGGGUUCAAUUCCCGCUGGCCAUGUGU